ensembl:lncRNA
GUGUUGCUGUGAGCUGUGGUGUAGGUCACAGACGCGGCUGGGAUCCUGUGUUGCUGUGGCUGUGACAUAGGCUGGCAGCUGUAGCUCCAAUUUGACUCCUAGACUGGGAACUUCCAUAUGCCACAAGUGUGGCCCUAAAAAGCAAAUAAUAAUAAUGAUAAUAAUAAUAUAAUAAUACUACUACUCUAAAUUCAUGUUCUUUUCAGUAUUAUAUGUUGCAGAUAUAAACAUGUUCUGAAUGUUUAUUCUAAAUAUAAAUAGAUAGUUGCUUUAGCUUAUUCUAAAUAUUUCUAUUCCAUUAAUCAUUAUUUUGACCCUAUACCAAUAUCCCAAAUUUCUAAAUUCUUUGAAUUCUGAAACCUAGAAGCAGACCCCAAACUCCAUGAUAGUUGGUAUGAGAAAAUACAGAUUAAAAAAAAUGUCCUACAUUGCAACGUGUCAGUGGAAUAUUCAGCAUUGGUGAACAGGGAAUAGGCAAACAUAUGCUAGAAUCCUUAAGGUCAACGUAUUAUUUAUCCCAACCCCGAAUCAGGUGUAACAACUGCUGAGCCACAACUUCCUCUUUGUCUUAGGCGGCCUUCUUGUUCUCGAAUGGCACUGGCUUCAUGGUGUCUGGUUUUGUCGGCCUUCUCUCCUUUGCUCAUGUUCCAGCCUCAGUCUUUAGUUCUCUUCCAUCAUCAGUAGUGUGAUGAUCUGUGAUAGAAGCUACUGUUGACGGUCUUGAGUACAUCUCAGACCCAUGAUACAGUUCUCUUCAUUACUGUCCUCUUGGAGAGCAAAUGAGCUGGCGAGCAUCACUGUCCGUCUGCCCAUGCUUGCACAUGGGACAUGCGCCAUAGAGGACAGUAUGCUUUCAGAGUUAGUAUUAGAAAGAAGGCUUUUGUUUUUCUUCCUUUUCCCAAUUUAGUUCUUCCUAUAUCUUGACAAUAUCUCCUCCUUUUAUCAAAGAUUCAUGAAAUAUGUACUUUUGUGCCUAAUGUUUGUCAAAAAAGUAUUAAAAUACAUAGUUCCUACUCUAAAGGAACUUACUCCUGAUAAGAUAAAGCUAGAAUAAUUGGAGAAGAGUAAAAAGAAAAUGAUGAAUAGUAUAUGCCUAACUUUUCUCUGAACUUUUAGGCACAUUUACUGUCUUAUACAAUUUAGUCUUAGUUUGUUAACUAAAUCUACUAAAUCUCUGCCUUGUGUUAUUCUUCAAUUUUCUUGAAUUAUUUCCUAGCAGUAUUAGAACUUUUUUGGAGAAAUAUCUUUGUUUCUAAAUAUUUACUGUUUGAACAAAACAUUUGUUGAGAGCCCACUAUGUUCUAGGCCCUUCUCUGGGAAGUACAAAAUGAGAAAGAGUCCUUGCCUUCAAAAAAUAUAUGUACAUAUAUCUCCUGGGAGACAGACUUAUGCAUUAAUAAUUAAUCGAGGGUGUAUAAACGAUGCCAAGAGGCUUUUUGCUGAGCCCUCCAUCUAAAAACAGCACCUUUCACUUUCUCGUCCCUUGUUCUGCUUUAUUUAUCUUCUUGGAUCUUAUCAUUAAAUGGAAAUACAUUCCAUGAAAAGACAUGCUUUUUUGUUGUGUUAUUUUUCUCUUCUUUGGUCUCCCAAGCCUGCUAAAUUUGCAUGAGGGGAAGGGAUUUUGUCUUGUCUGCUGUAUCCCAGGCACCUAAAGAAAGCCUGGCACUUGGUAAAUAUUUGUGGAAAAAAUAAAAGAAUGAAUGAAUAUGGGUCCUAUGUCCUGGUCCGUAUUCUUAUGGCACUUUCUCUUUAGCCUGCUGAGAAGGAGAAAAUUAAGCUUUGCUGAUAACUCUGCAGGCAUCCUCACUUCAUCCAUCUCUUAAUAGUUGUGUUCCCUUUUUUCCAGGAGGGCUUCUCUAACUGAUUUUCUAUUUUGUGUUCUGUGAUAUUGACCAUACAGGUUUAAUUAUAAGAUCUCACUAGCGGCUAAGAGUUUUACAUGGUAGCCUAUUUAAUUGAGCCACUGUGUACAAAUCAUACUACCUAGCCUGUAGUGCUGUAAAGUAAAUAUUUGUCUGUAGCACUGUACAAUUAUUUAUUUGGUUAUUCUUCAUGCAUCAAACAGCACAGUUGGUGCUUCAGCUUAGGCAAGCUCUGCAUGUCUCUUAUUAACUGUCUGAGUGGAACUGUUGUACAGAGGAAUCUGUUUGUUAUUUGGCCUUUAAAAUAGCCACUUAUUAUAUAUCAGAAUGCUUAGUUAUCAAUAUUUUCCUACUGACGCAUCAUCUAAAAUAUUAACACUGAGCUUUUUAUAGGGUUUCCCCAGGGAACUUGGAAAUAAGAGCCCAUGACUUGCAAAGUGAAGAAAUUGUGAAUUAAUAACCCUUGUACUCUAGAAAAAGACAUCACCAGGAGUGAAACUUUGCACAUGGUUCUGUCUCAUUUUUUUUCUGAACUGAGAGGUUGGGACCUCUGUCAUGCCUAGUAAUUUGUUUGACAGAGAUAUGUUGGAAUCCCACUAAGUGCUUUGGGUAAAAAAAUAAAAUAAAAUAAUCUGUCGACCUUCUCAGAUUGCUUCUUUCUAGAAUUUAGGCAUUUUCCCUUUGAGGGAGAAUACAAAUGACUGAUUCUCAGACCUUUUGUGGAAAAGAACACUUGUCACUCGGCGUGCUCCCCCCACAGACCUGGCUUAUGUGCUUCCUCCUCCCUGCACCUCUCACAACACCAGCCUACUGCAAGUUGUGUAGAUUGGAAAUAAAGCGGGAGGGGUAGUAUGGCUUUAAGGAAAAUUGCUGUAAAACUGUAUUUUCUGAAACAUCAGUGAUCUAGGGCCCAUUUUGAGAAUUCCUUGAAAAAUAGGCUAGUGAUGAUCUUUUUCCUUGUCCUAAGUCCAAAGAAAGCAUCAUGGAUGGCUCUAGGCUUGGAGAAAUUUGGAGUCGUCUCAUUCAGAUUCCAUUAUAUCCAAGGGCUUGAAAACUACCAAUGGAAGAGAUAAAUAAGUGGAUCGAGUAAAAAUUUCUGGAUAACUUGCUUGAUAGAAUCAGAGAAAUUUCCAGACAAUUUAUAACAUUAAAGUUUUAUGUGGGAAUUCCCAUUGUGGCUCAGUGGUAAUGAACCUGACUAGUAUCCAUGAGGAUGUGGGUUCAAUCCUUGGCUUCACUCAGUGGGUUAUGGAUCUAGUUGCCGUGAGCUGUGGUAUAGGUCACAGAGGUGGCUUCGAUCCUGUGUUGCUGUGGCUGUGGCUGUGCCUGGCAGCUGUUUGGAUUCGCCUCUAGCCUGGGAACCUCCAUAUGCUGCAGGUACAGGCCUAAAAAGCAAAGAUGUCCAAGAAUGGCAGCAAAAUAAAUGAAGAGGGUGGAAAUACCUGUAGGUCAAGGAGAAGUUACUGGUAAUGAAGAUUCAAUGAAUACCGUCUACCUAGAUUUACUGAUGGUGAAUGUUUUUCUGCAUUUCCUCUAUCUCUGUAUUGCUCUCUAUAUAAACUUUUAGACAUGUUUUCUUCAGUUUGAAGAGAGCACACCGAGAUGGAAAGCGUUGGUUUGGAAUUCAAAAGAGACUCAUAUAUUUUCAAAGUGCAAAAUUAAUAAUUUCCCUUUUAUCAGCAUGUUGUCAUAUCGCCAUUUGAGUUUAAUUCUUAGUAGUUUACUAAUAUACUGACACGUUAUGAAUAUGUUUGUGGCCUCAUUUUUAAAAGUAAACUAUUGAAUCAGUUAUAGUGGAGGGCUAGAGGCAUCUGUAAUAGUUUAUGGCUUUUCUUGGUGACAAAUUGUUGGUUUUAGAUACUUGAAACAGUUUCUAAGAGGACAGAUGUCCGUAGCAUUCCAUUUUUUCUUCCCCCCAAAGAGAUGUUAUUUCUUUUUUCUAAAGCUAUGGAAUGUGUAUCAUUGUUAUGGAAUGCUAUAAAAUGCCUUACACUACACAUGGGCUUCACUCAUUGUAUAAUUUUGAUGUUAUCUUUAAUUUUAUUUUUUCUGUUGAUCUUUGUUUUAUGUUACAUUAUCUAGAGUCAAGGAAGCUAGCUAGGUUGGGUUUCAGUAUUUUCUCUUGAUUUGCUAUUGAAAUUUUAGACCAGUUAAUUAUCUGACUUGGACCUCAAUUCCUUCAUUUGCAAAGUGGAGAACAUAGCCUUAUGUUUAAACACUUUGAAAUGUUAAUUUAAUUUUAAAAAUGUAUAUGCUGUCUAUCCCACUAUCUAUCUCCUAACAUGUUAAAAUACUUAGAACAAUACUUCAUACAUUUUAAGUCACAUAAUAGAUGCUGCUAUUUAAUUAUCUUACUAAAUCUCUAAACAUAUACAAACAUUCACAUUAUUGUUAGCCUUGGU